UAUCUGGCUCAGCGGUAAAGCUCUCGCCUAGCAUGUGUGAGGCCCUGGGUUCGAUCCUCAGAACCACAUAA
rnacentral:tRNA from 1 species